GAUAAACGCCGGCGGUGUACAUAAGACAUGCAAGUCGAACGGGAGAAGACUGGAAGAUUUAUCUACUAGCUCGGACACCGUGGCGGACGGGUGAGUAACACGUAAGCAACCUGCCUAUAAGAGGGGAAUAACAGUGAGAAAUUACUGAUAAUACCGCAUAAGCUGGAGGUAUCGCAUGAUACAUUCAGAAAAGAUUUAUCGCUUAUAGAUGGGCUUGCGUCUGAUUAGCUAGUUGGUGAGAUAACAGCUCACCAAGGCGACGAUCAGUAGCCGGAUUGAGAGGUUGAACGGCCACAUUGGGACUGAGACACGGCCCAGACUCCUACGGGAGGCAGCAGUCGGGAAUAUUGCACAAUGGAGGAAACUCUGAUGCAGUGACACCGCGUAUAGGAAGAAGGUCUUAGGAUUGUAAGCUAUUGUCGUGUGAGAAGAAAAUGACCAUCACAGG
rnacentral:rRNA from 1 species